rnacentral:misc_RNA from 1 species
GAAAUGCGAUAAGUAAUGUGAAUUGCAGAAUUCAGUGAAUCAUCGAAUCUUUGAACGCACAUUGCGCCCGCCAGUAUUCUGGCGGGCAUGCCUGUUCGAGCGUCAUUUCAACCAUCAAGCCCCCGGGCUUGUGUUGGGGACCUGCGGCUGCCGCAGGCCCCGAAAACCAGUGGCGGGCUCGCUGUCACACCGGGCGUAGUAGAUUUUUCGUCUCGACCAGGGCGUGCUGCGGGUUCCGGCCGUUAAAAAGCCUCUCUUUUAACCCAAGGUUGACCUCGGAUCAGGUAGGAAGACCCGCUGAACUUAAGC